rnacentral:rRNA from 1 species
GACGAACGCUGGCGGCGUGCUUAACACAUGCAAGUCGAACGGAAAGGCCCUGCCUUUGUGGGGUGCUCGGGUUGCGAACGGGUGACUAACCCGUGAGUAACCUGUCCUUGACCUUGGGAUAACUUCAUGACACUGGAGCUCUUACCGCCUAGGAGCUCCUGCUUCAUGGUGGGGGUUCGAAGGAUUAGGUGGUUGGGGAUGGACUCGCGGCUUAUCAGCUUGGUGGUGGGGUAGUGUCUUACCAUGACUUGGACGGGUAGCAGGCCUGAGCGGGUGAGCGGCCACAUUAGGAUUGAGAUAAGGCACGGACUCCUACGGUAGGCAGCAGUGGGGAAUAUAGCACAAUGCGCGGAAGCCAAAUGUAGCAACGCAGCGCGCGGGAUGAGGGCCAUCGGGUUGUGAUCUGCUUUCGCCUGUGACGAAACGUGAAUGACGGUAAUGGGUGAAGAAGCACCGGCUAACUACGUG